GAUACGCUGUUUGGUGCGUAAUUAGAGUUAAUUUUUGUGCCAACAAAUUAACUUUGGAAGCCCAAACUUCAUCUGCGGCGUAAAUGCCCGUAUCAAACGGGACUUACAAAACAGCUAGGAGGGCAUCCACCUGCUGAGGCAGGGCAUAAAAAACUUCCAACGAUUACGGCCAAAUGGGGUAUCC
rnacentral:other from 1 species